GGCCGGCUGGCGCAAUGGUAGCGCGUCAGACUUCUAUCGUUUCACACGUUGAAAUGUAGUUAUCUGAAGGCUGCGGGUUCGAGCCCCGCGUUGGUCA
rnacentral:tRNA from 2 species